AGUGAACGCUGGCGGCAGGCCUAACACAUGCAAGUCGAGCGGCAGCGCGGGGGCAACCCUGGCGGCGAGCGGCGGACGGGUGAGGAAUUCGUCGGAAUCUGCCUUUUUGUGGGGGAUAACGUAGGGAAACUUACGCUAAUACCGCAUACGUCCUACGGGAGAAAGUGGGGGACCGCAAGGCCUCACGCAGAAAGAUGAGCCGACGACCGAUUAGCUAGUUGGUGGGGUAAAGGCCCACCAAGGCGACGAUCGGUAGCUGGUCUGAGAGGAUGAUCAGCCACACUGGGACUGAGACACGGCCCAGACUCCUACGGGAGGCAGCAGUGGGGAAUAUUGGACAAUGGGCGCAAGCCUGAUCCAGCCAUGCCGCGUGUGUGAAGAAGGCCUUCGGGUUGUAAAGCACUUUUGUCCGGAAAGAAAUCCCUGGAGCUAAUACCUUCGGGGGAUGACGGUACUGGAAGAAUAAGCACCGGCUAACUUCGUG
rnacentral:rRNA from 1 species